UGAGGAAUAUUGGUCAAUGGGCGCAAGCCUGAACCAGCCAUCCCGCGUGCAGGAAGACGGCCCUAUGGGUUGUAAACUGCUUUUCCAGGGGGAGAAUUUUUCUGUCGUGACAGGAAUUGACGGUACCCUGGGAAUAAGCAUCGGCUAACUCCGUGCCAGCAGCCGCGGUAAUACGGAGGAUGCGAGCGUUAUCCGGAUUUAUUGGGUUUAAAGGGUGCGUAGGCGGAUAGAUAAGUCAGUGGUGAAAACCUGCAGCUUAACUGUAGACUUGCCGUUGAUACUGUCAGUCUUGAGUAUGGUCAGGGUAGGCGGAAUGUGUAAUGUAGCGGUGAAAUGCUUAGAUAUUACACAGAACACCGAUUGCGAAGGCAGCUUACUGGGCCAUUACUGACGCUGAUGCACGAAAGCGUGGGGAUCGAACAG
rnacentral:rRNA from 1 species